rnacentral:rRNA from 1 species
CGUGAGGGAAAGGUGAAAAGGACCCCGGGAGGGGAGUGAAAGAGAACCUGAAACCCUAUGUUUACAAGCAGAUAAAGCGAAUUAAGGCGCGAUAUCGUACUUUUUGUAGAACGGUCCAGCGAGUUAUUGUAUAUGGCGAGGUUAAGUUGUAAGUAAGCAACGAAGCCGGAGUGAAAGCGAGUCUGAAGAGGGCGUAAAAGUCAUAUGUAAUAGACCCGAAACCGGGUGACCUAUCCAUGGUCAGGAUGAAGCUAAAGUAAAAUUUAGUGGAGGUCCGAACUGAUUGUCGUUAAAAAGGCACCGGAUGAACUGUGGAUAGCGGAGAAAUUCCAAUCGAACUCGGAGAUAGCUGGUUCUCCUCGAAAUAGCUUUAGGGCUAGCCUCGUUUUAGUCUUGUGGAGGUAGAGCACUGAAUUUCCGCGGGGGCGUCAAAGCUUACCAAAGAAUAUCAAACUCCGAAUGCCAUUAAGAUGAUGAACGGGAGUCAGACUGUACGAGAUAAGUUGGACAGUCAAAAGGGAAAGAGCCCAGACCUGCAGCUAAGGCCCCAAAAUGUGUGUUAAGUGGAAAAGGAUGUGGGAUUUCGAAGACAACUAGGAUGUUGGCUCAGAAGCAGCCAUUCAUUCAAAGAGUGCGUAACAGCUCACUAGUCGAGAGUCCCUGCGCCGAAAAUGUCCGGGGCUGAAACACAACACCGAAGCUGUGGAAUCAUACCUAGUAUGAUUGGUAGAGGAGCAUUCUUAAGACCGACGAAGCUGUACCGGUAAGGAGCAGUGGAGGGAUAAGAAGAGAGAAUGCCGGAAUGAGUAGCGAGAGGAAGGUGAGAAUCCUUCCGGCCGAAUAUCCAAGGAUUCCAGGGUAAAGCUGAUCUGCCCUGGGUAAGUCGGGACCUAAGGAGAGGCCGAGAGGCGUAUCCGAUGGACAACAGGUUUAGAUUCCUGUACCACAUAUGGUCAGAACUGUGGGGACGCAGAAGGAAAGCAUGAGCCAGGAAUGGAAAGACUGGUACAAGCAGAGGGGAUGGUGUGCUGGCAAAUCCGCACACGAAAGUCCUUGCUGUGAUGUGGAGCGAACCAAAGUAGCGAAGCAUGCGGACCGGCUGCCGAGAAAAGCCGCUAUUGUGCCAUAUGUGCCCGUACCGUAAACCGACACAGGUGGAUGAGGAGAGAAUCCUAAGGCCGACGGAAGAAGUAUUGUUAAGGAACUCGGCAAAAUGACCCCGUAACUUCGGGAGAAGGGGUGCCUGAGAAAUCAGGCCGCAGAGAAUAGGCUCAAGCAACUGUUUAGCAAAAACACAGGUCUAUGCAAAACCGAAAGGUGAAGUAUAUGGGCUGACGCCUGCCCGGUGCUGGAAGGUUAAGAGGAGAGGUUAGCGCAAGCGAAGCUUUGAAUUUAAGCCCCAGUAAACGGCGGCCGUAACUAUAACGGUCCUAAGGUAGCGAAAUUCCUUGUCGGGUAAGUUCCGACCCGCACGAAAGGCGUAAUGAUUUGAGCGCUGUCUCGACAAUGCACCCGGUGAAAUUGAAAUACCAGUGAAGAUGCUGGUUACCCGCGCCAGGACGGAAAGACCCCAUGGAGCUUUACUCCAGUUUGGUACUGGGAUUCGGUACUGCAUGUACAGGAUAGGUGGGAGACGAAGAAGUUAGGACGCCAGUCUUAACAGAGUCGCUGUUGGGAUACCACCCUUGCAGUAUUGGGUUUCUAACCAGCCGCUGUGAACCAGCGGUGGGACAAUGCCAGGCGGGGAGUUUGACUGGGGCGGUCGCCUCCGAAAGGGUAUCGGAGGCGCUCA